UUGCGGGGUGGAGCAGCUCGGUAGCUCGUCAGGCUCAUAACCUGAA
rnacentral:tRNA from 1 species